AUACGGGGGGUGCAAGCGUUGUCCGGAAUCAUUGGGCGUAAAGGGUUCGUAGGUGGAAUUAUAAGUCUGGUGUGAAAGCCCACAGCUCAACUGUGGAACUGCACUGGAUACUGUUUUUCUUGAGUUAUAGAGGGGUUUGUGGAAUUUCUGGUGUAGAGGUGAAAUUUGUAGAGAUCAGAAAGAACACCGGUGGCGAAGGCGACAAACUGGCUAUUAACUGACACUGAGGAACGAAAGCGUGGGGAGCGAACAGGAUUAGAAACCCCAGUAGUCC
rnacentral:rRNA from 1 species